CAACAGUACCAGGUCUACUCUACAGGAGAACAACAGUACCAGGUCUACUCUACAGGAGAACAACAGUACCAGGUCUACUCUACAGGAGAACAACAGUACCAGGUCUACUCUACCAGUAACAGGAGAUCCAAUCAGAGGACACGUUUGUUGAGUAUUGUAAGGCAUCUAUUCCCUAUGUGGUGCUCUACUUUGGACAAGGGCCUUUUUGGCUUCCUAUUCCUAGGGAAUACUUUGACUUAUGGGACACGACCUAUUACUUCUGGCUAAUAACAUAUAUUAUAUAUAUUUUUUAUAUUUUAUAGAUAUUUCACAUGGAAUUGUGUGAACACAUAAUUAUCUAACUGUCUAAGACAAAUCUAUUUAAAUGUGCUUUUAUUUCAGUAUAACAGCCAACAAAAAAAGAACCCCAAAAUGUUUGUUUUUUUGUACAACAGUUCUUUAUUAAAGUACAUUAUUUAUGUUAAAUUAGAGACAGUGACCAUCCUUACAUGUCUAGAAAUAUACAUACUAUAUGAAUAACUGCUAGGAUCAUAACAUGGACGAUAUAGUCCUGAAUAACAUGGAGGGUACUGUACUGAAUAACAUGGAGGGUACUGUUCUGAAUAACAUGGAGGGUACUGUACUGAAUAACAUGGAGGGUACUGUACUGAAUAACAUGGAGGAUACUGUACGGAAUAACAUGGAGGAUACUGUACGGAAUAACAUGGAGGGUACUGUACUGAAUAACAUGGAGGAUACUGUACUGAAUAACAUGGAGGGUACUGUACUGAAUAACAUGGAGGGUACUGUACUGAAUAACAUGGAGGGUGCUGUACUGAAUAACAUGGAGGAUACUGUACUGAACAACAUGGAGGGUACUGUAGUGAAUAACAUGGAGGGUACUGUAGUGAAUAACAUGGAGGAUACUGUACUGAAUAACACGGAGGGUACUGUAGUGAAUAACAUGGAGGGUACUGUAGUGAAUAACAUGGAGGGUACUGUACUGAAUAACAUGGAGGCUACUGUAGUGAAUUUUUUUUCCCUUGGGCAAACUUUGUCAAUAUUGUUGCAUCUAAAAUGUUAUUUAUACUCUUUCUGUAUUUAAAUACAUGUUAAUAUAUAAUAUGCUAUUCUGA